rnacentral:misc_RNA from 1 species
AAAUUAUCUUAUAAAUGAAAUUCCUUCCUAUAAACAAUUCUUAAAACUUUUAUUAAUUCUCGAUGAUAAUCAUAGUAACAAUAAUAAUCUCUUUAGUAAUAUGUCUAGAUGACAUAUAUAGUUAUAGUAAAAUAACUAAUCAUAUUGCUAUUAAGACUAUGAAUCCUAGAACAACUUAAUUUCGUAAAUAAAAUAAAAUAAAAUAUUAUUUCCUAAUAGAACUCUAUAAAUACUUCUAAAUACUAAUAGAAUUCCUAAAGAAUAAAAAUUUAAAUUUCCUAAUUCUACAAUAACUAUAAUUCCACUGCAUCAACUACCCUUCCCACCCACUCACUAUACUUCUCUUUUCUCUCUCUUCUCUGCCUUCCCCUUCUCUCCCUAUUUUCCCCUUCAACCCCCUUUUUCCCCAUCGCCACCUAGCCCCACCAACGUCAAUGCCACCUCCCCAGCCUAUAGUGACCCUCCCCUGAACCCAGUAACAAGCAGUGGUGUUGAUUUGGAGUAGAAAACCAUCCGAUCGCGAAGAGGAGAAUUGCGACCCACAAAGAAGACCCCAAGAAUUGCAAUCAGCAGUCGCAACUUCAGACAGACACAGCGCCAACUCCCCACCCCCUAUCAACCUUCUCUUGACCUCAACGAUGAGUGGUGGCUUUGAUUUGGGGCAAGAAAUCUUCAAGUCGUUAAGAGGAGAAACACAGCCCGCAAAAAAGAACGGGCCAGGUUCCAGUGUUCCCAACAUCAGACAAACACAACGCCACCACCAAUCAACUCCUUUCCUCUUGGGCAUGUUGACCAAUCCCAGCCUCCACCAUCGCCAGAAACACAAGAAUUGAAGAGAGAAGAUUUUA